rnacentral:rRNA from 1 species
GACGAACGCUGGCGGCGUGCCUAACACAUGCAAGUCGAACGGAAAGGCCCUGCUUUUGUGGGGUGCUCGAGUGGCGAACGGGUGAGUAACACGUGAGUAACCUGCACUUGACUUUGGGAUAACUUCAGGAAACUCGGGCUAAUACCGGAUAGGAGCUCCUGCUGCAUGGUGGGGGUUGGAAAGUUUCGGCGGUUGGGGAUGGACUCGCGGCUUAUCAGCUUGUUGGUGAGGUAGUGGCUUACCAAGGCUUUGACGGGUAGCCGGCCUGAGAGGUUGACCGGGGACAAUGGGCCUGAGGGAGGGACCAGACUGCAACGUGCGGCAGCAGUGGGGAAUAUUGCGGAGUAGGCGGACGUCUGAUGCAGCAACGCUGCGUGCGGGAUGACGGCUUUCUGGGGAUGAACCGCUUUGGCCUGUGACGAAGCGUGAGUGACGGUAAUGGGUAAAGAAGCACCGGCUAACUACGUG